ACCUGGGUGGCUCAGUUGGUUAAGCGUCUGACUUCAGUUCAGGUCACGAUCUCAUGCACACGGUUUGUGGGUUCGAGCCCCUCGUCGGGUU
rnacentral:tRNA from 1 species